rnacentral:rRNA from 1 species
GACGAACGCUGGCGGCGUGCCUAAUACAUGCAAGUCGAACGCUGAAGGAGGAGCUUGCUUCUCUGGAUGAGUUGCGAACGGGUGAGUAACGCGUAGGUAACCUGCCUGGUAGCGGGGGAUAACUAUUGGAAACGAUAGCUAAUACCGCAUAAGAGUAGAUGUUGCAUGACAUUUGCUUAAAAGGUGCAAUUGCAUCACUACCAGAUGGACCUGCGUUGUAUUAGCUAGUUGGUGGGGUAACGGCUCACCAAGGCGACGAUACAUAGCCGACCUGCGAGGGGGGUCGGCCGGACUGGGACGGAGACCCGGCCCAGACGCCUUCGGGAGGGAGCAGUAGGGAAACUUCGGCAAUGGACGGGAGUCUGACCGAGAAACGCCGAGUGAGUGAAGAACGUCUUCGGAUCGUAGAGCUCUGUUGUAAGAGAAGAACGAGUGUGAGAGUGGAAAGUUCACACUGUGACGGUAACUGACCAGAAAGGGACGGCUAACUACGUG